ACGUGCCGUGGGCGGGAGGGCUGGCGGGGCUCCCCGGCGAGAAAAGUUGGCCGGGAGGAACCAGCCGGGCCUGCUUUUCCUCCCCAGGAGCCCCUCCGCGGGCGGGAGCGCGGCCCGCAGCCUGGGCCAGCUUGUCGCUGGGCGCCCGGGCCCCGGCGUUAUCCUGCCCCGCCGGCCCAGCAGCGCUUUCCCCGUGAAGAAGCUCCUGUAGGAAAGGGCUGGAAGGGAACUUCUAAACAGAGAGCAGCUUUUGUGACUCCUUAGGAAGUCAAUGAAGUCUCCAACAACCACCAGCCAUACACCAGCUGGAGUCAGGGCAUGUGCUACAGUGCAGGUUCUCUGCCCAAGGAAUUUUUCAGCACUCUCUCAAGCCAGUACAGC